rnacentral:rRNA from 1 species
UACGUAGGGUGCAAGCGUUGUCCGGAAUUAUUGGGCGUAAAGAGCUCGUAGGCGGUCUGUCGCGUCUGCUGUGAAAUCAGGGCUCAACCCUGGACCUGCAGUGGGUACGGGCAGACUAGAGUGCGGUAGGGGAGAUCGGAAUUCCUGGUGUAGCGGUGAAAUGCGCAGAUAUCAGGAGGAACACCGGUGGCGAAGGCGGAUCUCUGGGCCGUAACUGACACUGAGGCGCGAAAGCCAGGGAGCAAACGGG